AAGCUGGAAUCGCUAGUAAUCGCGGAUCAGAAUGCCGCGGUGAAUACGUUCCCGGGUCUUGUACACACCGCCCGUCACACCAUGGGAGUCGGGAAUGCCCGAAGUCAGUGACCCAACCUAUAGGAGGGAGCUGCCGAAGGCAGGUCUGAUAACUGGGGUGAAGUCGUAACAAGGUACC
rnacentral:rRNA from 1 species